rnacentral:lncRNA from 1 species
AUUAAAUUCAUUUCUCCACUAAAAAUCACAUGCAUUCCUAAAAGAGAAUUUACUAAUUUAUUUUCUCCCUGGCCGAGACCCUUCAAAAGUAAACCCAAAACAAAUCAUUCAAAAUUAUGCAUCACCGUGCAGGUGGACAUGGUGCUCUUUUGCUCUCCAUCAACUAGCGUGCUUUAAUUUACUUUCUAGAAGAAAUUAAAAUCCCAACAAUCAAAGCCUCACAUCUUCAAGGAAAAGAAGUAGAACAAAUGUACCGUGUGCAUCUAAGGAAAAUCAAGGAUUAAAAAAAAAAAAUAAAAAUAAAAAUAAAAUAAAGGUGUGUUGUCCUUUGCUGGACGGGACAACAUCUACUCCCACCUAUCAUCUCUUCAUUCAAAAACAAGUAAAUAACUUACUGCACCUACGCUGCCUAGCUAUUAGCAUGUUCCAUCUUAUCUCCCA